GACGAACGCUGGCGGCGUGCUUAACACAUGCAAGUCGAACGGAAAGGCCUCUUUCGUGGGGUACUCGAGUGGCGAACGGGUGAGUAACACGUGAGUAACCUGCCCUUGACUUUGGGAUAACUUCAGGAAACUGGGGCUAAUACCGGAUAGGAGCUCCUGCUGCAUGGUGGGGGUUGGAAAGGUUCGGCGGUUGGGGAUGGACUCGCGGCGUAUCAGCUUGUUGGUGGGGUAGUGGCUUACCAAGGCUUUGACGGGUAGCCGGCCUGAGAGGGUGACCGGCCACAGUGGGACUGAGAUACGGCCCAGACUCCUACGGGAGGCAGCAGUGGGGAAUAUUGCAAAAUGGGUGGAAGCCUGAUGCAGCAACGCCGUGUGCGGGAUGACGGCCUUCGGGUUGUAAACCGCUUUCGCUCAUGACGAAGCUUUGUGUGACGGUAGUGGGUAAAGAAGCACCGGCUAACUACGUG
rnacentral:rRNA from 1 species